rnacentral:rRNA from 1 species
UACGAAGGGGGCUAGCAUUGCUCGGAAUCACUGGGCGUAAAGGGUGCGUAGGCGGGUCUUUAAGUCAGAGGUGAAAUCCUGGAGCUCAACUCCAGAACUGCCUUUGAUACUGAAGAUCUUGAGUUCGGGAGAGGUGAGUGGAACUGCGAGUGUAGAGGUGAAAUUCGUAGAUAUUCGCAAGAACACCAGUGGCGAAGGCGGCUCACUGGCCCGAUACUGACGCUGAGGCACGAAAGCGUGGGGAGCAAACAGG